CUGAACUUGUAACAGAAUAUUAAAUUAUACUCCACUCAGGAGAACUCUGCACUUUGCACUUUGGUUAAAGUCUCAUUUAAAAUUUAAAUUUCUAAACUUUUCUUAAGAAAUUAAGUUUUAUUUGAUCUCCUCUUUUCUGAAUUGCAGAAAUCAGAUAAAACUACUUGAUAAACAUGACUUCUUGUCAUGUUACUAAAGAUCCUAUAAAAAAGGUUGCUAUCUUUGGAGGAACUCAUGGGAAUGAGUUAACAGGAGUAUUUCUAGUCAAGCACUGGCUGGAGAAUGGCACUGAGAUUCAGAGAACAGGGCUGGAAGUAAAACCAUUUAUUACCAACCCAAGAGCAGUGAAGAAAUGUACCAGAUAUGUUGACUGUGACCUGAAUCGAGUUUUUGACCCUGAAAAUCUUGGCAAAACAAUGUCAAAGGAUUUGCCAUAUGAAGUGAGAAGGGCUCAAGAAAUAAAUCAUUUGUUUGGCCCAAAAGACAAUGAAGAUUCCUAUGACAUUAUUUUUGACCUUCACAACACUACGUCUAACAUGGGAUGCACUCUUAUUCUUGAAGAUUCCAGAAAUGACUUUUUAAUUCAGAUGUUUCAUUAUAUUAAGGAAUCCUUUGACUCCAAAGUCAUAAAGACUGAAAAUCAGAUUUUUACCACCUUUGUCUGAGGACAGGGUCAAUAGCAUUGAAUGGACCUGGUAUCGGGAAGGUCACCACUAAUUUACAAGACACCCUUCCAGUAAUAAGUGUGGGACUGCAGGACAUUGAGAAAUGAUGUACCUGGUAGAAGGCUACAAACCUGAGCGAAGAAGCAUGGUUUCCAAAUCCGAGUCCACAGAAUCCUACUCCUGGGCUGGGAGUCUCCUCGCCGCCCCGUGGCUCCGGGACAGUUCAAGGACAGCUGCUCCAGAGCCGUUCGACUGUCUGAUUGCUCUGCCAUGUAACAUUUCACUUGAGCAAAAGAUUCUACAGUUCAGAAAUGUUAAACCACUAUAACUUUUUAGUUUGGUGGAUUUUUAACUAACAUGGAAAGAGCACAAUUACCCAAAGAAUGCUGACAAAGAGAUAACCAACCACCUAGAGAAAAAUCUCUAGAAAUGUGCAGAAGAGCUCCGUCCUUGACUCUGUGCUACUCAAAAUUGUCAGUAAGUUGGAUAAAGAUAGAUGUGACAUGCUUAUAUAUAAAUGAAAGGUGGCAGGAAGCUUUCAGGAAAAUAUUUGGGGUCAGGAGGUAGAUCCAAAAAGUCCUGACAAUCUUUAACAAUUGUCUGAAGCAAAUGCUUUAAGUUAAAUACAUUACAGGAACAAAGUUUGCUUUUAUGUUAAAAAAAAAAAAAAUCCAGGAGGUGAUGGUCUCUCUCCUGCAUUGAAUAAAUACCACUUGGGGAACUGUGAAUAAAUUCUGAGUCCAUAUUAGUGGUUAGCCAAGGAGUAAAUUAAGAAUGCUAUAAGGUUUGAAAACCAAAAUAGGAGUAAUCCCCGAGACACACACAGAACUUGAGUUUACAAAGUACCUUCACAUAGAACCUCAUGAAUGUGACCACAUAGGAGUAGUGAAUAAGAACAUUUAGAUCAGCAAAAGAAGACUUUAUAUUGGAGUUUUAGAAGUGUUAUAUUGGAAAGCAAUUAGACUUGUUUUCUGUGACUGAGGGCAGAGUAGAAUCCGUGGGAUAGAGUUACCUACAGACAUAAAUUUCUAAUUAACAACACUGGCCACACUUUGUGAAGCUGUCCGAGCUAGACUAAGAUGACCACCAGUGGGCCAGAAAGAGAUGGAGAAUACUCAAGCACUGAUGAAGUUAGGCAUUUGAGCCUCCUUCAGACUCUGAGAUUCAAAGUAGCAAAAACGUGCUACUUUAUUUUCUACCACUUUUUCCUUUACUCCCAAUGGACCUUCUGCUUUAAAAAGAGGACACCUGAUAAGUUUCCAUCUUCCCCUGAAAGGUGGGGUAGGUUGUAAAAAUGGCCACAAAUUCUUUCCUUCUCUGCAUGUUCUCUCUCCAUGUUCUUACAAUGUGCUUUUUUAGAUCCUUCUACCAAGAAAUGGAGUCUAUUUCCCUACCUCCUGAAUCUUACAUGUUUUGUGCCACAGAAGAGAUUUGAAAGGGACUUGCCCUCUGGGGGUUGCUCUCUUGCUCCCCUUGCGAGUAUGUGGAUCAGCCUGGCCUAGUCUCUUAAAUAAUGGGAGAUGAUGAGGCAGAGGACUCAGACACCCUAGCUCUAGCCAAUAGACCUGUCUAAUGCCAGACAUGAGAGUAAGACCAUCUUAGAUCAUCCAGCCCCCAGCUGACCUGCCAGCUUGCCACAGUCCUUAUUGUCACUGGGACACUUCUCAAUCAGCGAGGCCAGGGCUGGGAGGACAGAAGAGGGUGUUCUCCUCUGGUGCUCUGGCUGCUUAAUUACCCAACAGGCUCCUGCACAUUUGCAUGUACGUGCACGCCCCUCCCCCACACACCAUGCAGGCCUACAGCCUCAGUGUGCAGACACCCCCGCACACACUUUUAGGUUAUAUACAUUUUAAAGUACAACAUAUAACAAACACACAGGGCCAGCAUCAACUCCUACACAUCACUACAUCAUCAGUGAUACAGACAUGUAGAUAAAAAGCUCCAUUGCUUAGAACAUCAGACGGUCUCCAUGAUUAUAAAAUAUCCAAUGAGUUAAAGUUAGGACACAGGCAACCUUGCUUUUCAUGUGCAGUGAAAAGCAAAUGAUUGGGCGAUCGAUGCAUUCUAAACUGAAGUGAGAAAGCACGAUGUUUCCUUCCUUAACAAAACACCUAAGAAGCUGAAAAGCAGGGCAAUGCAUUGGUCCCUUUUGUCUUUACUAAAGCCAGUGGCUGAAUAAACAAACGCUUCACUGGAAUUCUCAUAUUUUCUCAAAGGUGGAAGACUCCCAUGAGGGAGAUAUCAUGGGGUCCAGCUACUCACUGCAGUAUCUGGGCACCCCACUUGCCCACAGGGAUGAAGAAUUCCAUGUAUGCCUCUAGAAGGCAGGUGCAUACAUAAUAAACACCUAGGUAUUUGGAAACACUGGGCCAAGAUUUAAGGUCCUAUAGACCCAGCCUCCCUAAUACUCUGAGGCAGGACUUUGGUGGGAUCUGCAGAGACGAAGAGCCCAACGUACUUCGUUCCACACUGCAAGUCCCAUUUCCUUUGCAUGGCAGCAAUGUUGAAUCAGCCUCUGUUCCUUGAGAGACAGGUGUCCAAUAAGCCUCUGAUGUCAGCUCGUGACCUCAUUCAGAGAGGCUGCUGAGCUGGGCUUCCUGGCCCCAUGGUAACCACCCCUGCUCUAGCAUAAGGUGAAGAUGAUGGGGUUGCUGGGCCUGGCUCAGACACCACCGAGGCUUGGUGUGAACUUGAGUAACUCAUUUCCCUGCUCUGGCCUUUGGCUUUUGUGUCUAUGGAUGAGACUUGAUGAUUUCUCUAGUGCUUUCCAGCCCCGAUCUGCCAGAGUCCAAGAUGGCAAGCUCUAGACCCCACAAAACUAGGAGGAACUGGCCCAGACCAUCUCUUCCUAAAGAAGUAAACCACUACUAAGCCUCUUCCUGCCUUCUCUGCCACACCUGCCAAGGUGGAGGCAGUCAUCACUGCAACCUGAUGGUGAGCACUGUGCUAGGCUCUUCUGGUCCUCUCCAUGGGUGUCCAUGGGCUUCUCCCACACAAGACUAUGGCCAAAUGACUGGGACAUGGUGACAUGGAAGUGUGGUUCCAGAGGACACAGCGGCCACCAUACAGGACUUCGGCCCUGCCUGUGCAGUGGUGACCAAAUGGGGCAGACCUACUUACAAGACAAAGUGAAACCAGGCAUCAGAGAGAAUGGACUGCAGAUCUGAGGGUCUCAGCAGGAAGAUCGCGAUGCUCUGAGGCCAAAAAGGAAAGAAAAGCUGCACCCCUGCAUGCCUCUCACUGGAGGAUCUGAGGAAGGCAGUGUUUCCUCAGGACUGAGACUCGGUGAGGGGGAGGGCAUGAAGGCCAAGCUAGAGCCCAGGUGAGAAAUACAGAAGGGGACCUAUGCCCGGGAGCAGAGGCAUCCCAGGGUAGGAGUGGGUGUACCCCCAAAUCCUCUCACAUCUCUCACUCACCCCACCUUAUCCUCACCCAGACCCUGCAAAGCAGCACAGUCACACAAUUCCCUGCCAUUGCCCAGACACAGCCUAGCUUCUAAAGCCAAAAACAAGAAACAACAGGUGUUGGUGAGGAUGCGGGAAAAAAGGAACCCUCUUGCACUGUUGGUGGGAGUGCAGACUGGGGCAGCCACUGUGGAAGACAGUGUGCAGUUUCCUCAUAAAGUUAAAAACAGAAAUAUCAUCCAGUAAUCGCACUACUGCGUAUCUAUCCAAACAAUACAAAAGCAGAAAAUCAAAAAGAUACAUGCAUCCUCAUAUUUACGGCAGCAUUAUUUAUAAUAGCCGAACUAUGGAAGCAGCCCAAGUGUCCCCUGAUAGAUGAACAAAUAAGGGAGAUGGGACAUAUAUACAAUGUAAUAUUACUCAGCCAUAAAAAAGAAUGAAAUUUUGCCAUUUUCAAUGACAUGGGUGGGGCUAGAGAGCAUUAUGCUAAGUGAUAGAAGUUAGAGAAAAACAAAUGCCGUAUGAUUUCACUUACAUGUGAAAUUUAAGAAAAGAAAUGAGCAAAGUGAAAAAAUCGAGACAGGGGCACCUGGCUGGCUCAGUUGGUAGAGCAUGUGACACUUGAUCUCGGGGUUGUGAGUUCGAGCCCCCCGUUGGGUGUAGAGCUUACUUUAAAAAAAAAAGAAAAAAUAGAGACAAAGCAAGAAACAGACUCUUAACUAUGGAGAACAAACUGAUGGUGGCCAGAGGGAGGAGGGUAGGGUCUGGGGGAAACUAGGUAAAGGGCAUUAUGAGUACACUUGUGGUGAGUACUGAGUCUUGUACAGAACUGCUGAAUCACUAUAUUGUACAAAGGAAACUAACAUAACACUGUAAGUUAACUACACUGAAUUAAAACUAAAAAUUUUGAUUAAAAGACAAAAAAAGAUA